rnacentral:misc_RNA from 1 species
GGUCCGUGAUGGACACCAAUGUGACGCUAUGGCAGUUCCUACUGGAGCUGUUGGUCGGGAACCAACACUCAGACAUCAUCCAGUGGACCAACACGGAGGGAGAGUUCAAGCUCAUCAACGCUGAGGAGGUGGCGAAACUGUGGGGACUGCGCAAAAACAAGCGUUCUCUCCAGCCUCGCAAUUCCAAGUCCGAAAGUCUCCAUGUCCACUGGCCUGUCUACCCCCCUGGUUCUGGCUAGCCCGGUGAUCGGCCCUAGGACGCCUUUCCUCCAUUUUUGGAGUUCUUUGAGCCCAAUAACAACGAUGAGUCCCCGCCUCGGCGGUUCCGCAUCAGCUUUUCAGUUCCCCACAUUCGCCACCAAUCACAUGACACUGUCUCCGAUGACGGCGACGUUUUCUAACGUCGAAUCGUUGGCUACACCCGCCUUGACAUCACCAACGAGGUCCAUUCCCUGUGUGUUAUGACCAUUACCGAAGUCCGAGCACGAUUUCAAAUUCUGAUCGGGCUCGAAAUAUUCUACGGUGCUAUGUUUGGGACCAAUAUUCCAAGUUUUGUUUUUGUUUUAUUUUAAAUCUUGAACAAACUACAAAGUGUUGAAGGUCAUAAUGAUUUGGAGAAAUUUCUCUCUCUCUUUUUUUUUUAUGUGAUAUAAGCAUGAUUUAUUUUUGUACUGAAACAAAAGCAAUGAGUUGAUGUUUUGAGAAGUUCUAUUAUACUGUAUUUGCCUGCACCCUGGCGGUGAUUUUGUAUGGAAUUUAAUAGUCGCUUGAUUAUCAUAACACUGUACAUAUUGCUUAGAUUUUUCUAUGAACUUACUAAUGGUCAUCCAUAUCACUGAGUCCCAUGGAGUUAAAUUAUGUACAUUCUUUAAUGAAUUCUUUUGAAUUGC